AGUCAAGUCUCCCGACUCUGGUCGCGUCUAGACCCCUGGGGAGGCUCCAUGGAGGAGAGCCUGCUGGAGAGGGAGCAUACUCUAGCAGUGGUUCUACCAGGAGGCCUGGAGAAAAUGGCCACGGUGCAUGGGAGGUAAGAGGCAUACAGACAGAAUGUUUUGUUGGAGCCAUACGAAAUCAUACUGUGUAUUUGAAAUGGAUUGACUGAGUACGAAAAAGGUAUGAAAAUGUAUGCAGUGUGUUACAGUGUGUUUUGUAGCCUUAAAGCGAGUUUACCCAGGAUUGGAUCCACUCUGUGCGUCUGUGGACUACAACUCUCCGUUGGUUUUCGUGGCCUUUUCUCCGCUGGAGAUCUGUUGGCGGAUUGUCUGACUGACCGACUGACUACAACUUUUUGUACACGGUAUUUCAUUUGUUUGGGGUGAUGUAUACUGUGAUUUAUGUAGUUGUGAGGACAUUAUUAUUUGGUUAGUCUUUGAUACGCUUUAUAGUUGUGUUGCAAAAUAAGUGUUAUUUUGAGUGUAUGAAUAUACUGUGUUUACGCUACGGACAAACGUUGCGUGACUAAGGUCACUUGAGUCACUGAACUUGUUUACCGGGCUGGACUCUUUUUAUGCCCGAGGUACAGGACAUUUCUAAAUGAACAUAAGUGCAUUAAUUGUUAUAUUGUUGUGUGUGAUCAUUUAUGUUGUUAAUACAACCACGCAAAAUAAUGCACUUGUUUGAAGUUCUUUCCAAUGUUUUACGGGGUUUAUGAGAAGUAUAUUUCCAUCCUUUUACAUAAGUCCUUUGUAUUGGUGUGACUUGACGGACCAGAUGGGACUCAUUCCCUCCCAAACUAAAAGGAGAAACCAAUGCUUUCUCUGGUAGGCUCAACCUACCUGGCACCCCUAGAAAUAACCUCAAGUCAAAACCGUUACAGUACGUGUCAGAGGUAAAUACUAACAAAAUGCAUCUGUACACACUAGCCAAUCUCCAACCUAGGUCAGUUUAUGUACUGAAGGGAUACUGUUUCCUAUAGGUCACUGUACGUCUGCUAAUCAAUUACAAGAAGAACCAUAAGGCUGUUGUGAGGGUCAACCCUAGAGUCCCUCUGGAGCAGCUCCUGCCUGCAGUGUGUGUGAGUUUGACCUGGAGUCCACCAUUUUACUGAGAGCCAACGACUCUGAAGGACCUUUAAACCUGAGCAGGUCCCUCGAUGACUAAGGGAACUAUACGCCAGGGACAUGGCAGCUGUCAGUCCUGAAGUGGUUAUCACACUACCUCCCCCCUAAGGGAAUGGACAGUCACUUCACACACUUAAGGAGAAGAUGGGAGAGUGUGAGGGGGACCUGGACUCCCCAUCCUCAUCCCCAAACAUCUCCAGCCCUUUGGUUCAGCCUCAGCCUCGAGUGCCCCCCACUCCCCCUUCUACCCCCUUCACUACCUCUCGUCCCUCUAGCAGAUUUCUACCCUCCAAUCCCUACCACCCCUCUCCUCGCUGCCUUCCCUCCCCUCCCACCCUAGGGGAGAUACUAACCCCUUUCCUGCCUUGUCAAACCCGGGCCAACCUCAAGCAUCCUUCGUUCCCAACCCCAAGACCCGUCAACUCCACCAAUGGAGGCUCACCUGGGUUCUUGACACAGUCGGGUGGAAGUAAGGGACUCAGUCCCCUCUUUACUCCAACUCAAGACCAAGGCCCCUGGUGAGGCUUUGAGGAGUCCUGAUAUGAUGGAGGGGAUGACCCCAUUUACUGUGGUGACCCUAGGGCAGUCCCUGACGGAGCAGAAAGUCUUGGAGGUGGACCUGACCCAGGCCUUAGACCCAGCACAAACCAUUGAUGAACCCUCCAAUGGUGUUGCUGAACCUGGGUUGGAGCACCACCAGACAAGGAAGAAGACACCGGUAUCACUGGAGAGGUUGAGGGAUCCACCCCAGAGCCUGAUAUAGAUUAUAAACUUUCUCCUCCAGGGUUUCCAGAAGGUUCUACUGACUUGGUCUUCAGUCCUCCAACCGUGUCUAGUCCUAGCGAGCUUUACCAGACCGCACCAAAUUCACCAGUGGUAGUCAAGCAGGAGAGUUCAGAGAUCGAGGCCCACGAGGAGUCCGAAUCACCCACAGACAGUCUAGAUUCAGAACUAGAGAAAAGUCUAGAGGUAGAAGUCCCAGAGGAGUCAGAUUCACUCUCAGAGAUACCCAACCCAUACGCAGCUGACCUGUUGGCCCACACCAAUGGAAUACCUGGAGAUGAGGUGACCUCAACUACUACAGAGCAGGGGAUUGUUCUGGAAGUCCAGUCUUGUGAUAGAGACAGAAGAGGACCGUUUCUGUUUCCCUCCUCCCCCUGCCUCUGUGUGCUAUGAUAAGGAGGUGGAGGAGACGGAGCCGACACAGUUACGCGUGAGGCCUCCUGGGGGAAGAAAUCACCGUCCUCCCUCUUAUCCUCCCCCUUCUCUUCCUACGCUGAGUCAUACCAUCUGUGAAUCAGCGGAGGGAGACAAUCGGACUGAUGCCUCUUCUUCACCCAAACCGAACAUGAUUCAUUUGACUUCACCCAAACCAUACGUGCCUGCAGCCCUGGCCAGGAAAACUGCCAUCCCCUCCUGCUUUACCCAGACUGUGGCUCUAGCCGUCCGUAAGUCCCAGUCCUCCUGUCCCCGAAGGCCAGCACCAGACUUGCUUUCCUCCCUCUCCGGCUCCUCACGCUCCACUGCUUUACUGCUAACCAAUGAGGGGCCAUAAUGGCUUCAUAGUAAAUCUGUGAAAUGGAAGUUCCUGUUUAGGGUGAGGCAACUGCAGUGAAGUAGAGCCGGCCACCACAUAGUCACAUCCAAAUGGACCCCACUUAGAGGUCGACUGACAAAUUCCAAAGAAGUCCAGGCCACUGUUUUGCACUGGGAGUCAGCACGUUACAUAAACAACAUUUAUCCUAGACUUCAUCCAAGAGUUUGAUUAGUGUACAGGUCAUUUUAUGUUCACUGAAUAUUUGUAUAAAUGCUACCUGAAUUAAUUGGAGGCAGUGCUGCCUUUACUUAUGUUAUUAAGAUAUUUGACUAUUAUGCGAAGAAGUAUUUAUUUGACCUUGGUAGUACAGUAUUUAUGGGAUCUACAUUUUUGUACUUGGAGUCUCAUUAGUGUUGAAAUGUGCCAAAACCGAGAUUAAAUAAUACGUCAUCUCUCCUCAUUAUCUCUUUUUGUUUGUCAAGGACAGAACUCUGAAAUAAGAUGACUUAAAAUGUUACAUUUCAUUCUGUACAUGUCACACCUUUCUGAGUGAAUUAUUCUCUAGAUUAUUUUCCAGACAUGUAUCAUUACUAUAAGUAAAUGAUACGCCAUAAUCAACUAGUGUGUUGCUUUCUUUUGCCACCGGAGGGCAGGAGCACACUUCACAAAUAUCUCAUGUACAGAACCACUGAGUGAGCUGUUUUGUGAUCCACACUUGAUCAAUUAUUAGCAUUGACAUAUCCAGAUAUUAAAGAAGAGCAUCAAUUAUCAUUCAUCUUCUUUGUCUUUACUGGUUGUACUUUUUUAUAAUGCAUUAGUGUGUUUUAUUUCAGGCCUUGUUAUCUUGUCCAUUAUUGAGUUAUGGUUGGUAUUUCACAAGGAUAUUCUACAGGGUGCCAUGUUUAGAACAUUGCAGGAAGAUAAGUAAUA